UACCUUUGAUUUAACUGUAGAGUCGGCAUCUCUGUCCCAAUUUCCCAGCAAAGCAAAAGUUGGAAGAAAUCUUCAAAGAUGGAAGUACCCAUGAAAUAGUUUGUUUUAAAUCCAGUGUUGAGAAGAGGCUAAGUGAGGUUUGCAUUAUAGUACUUCCAAUUCUGAACAAAAAAAUUUCAAUAUGCUUGAGACACCCACCAUUGUUGUUCUCUGUGGGUGGCUCACUUUUUAGAGGACUGUAGUUCCUCCCUGAAAUUGUAUCCACCGAAUUUAUGGUGUUCUACUAUUUCUCAUUCAAAUUUUACUUCCACUUAGCAAAGUUUUGGAGUAACAUUUUGCUCCUUGAUGACAGUGAAUGAUUUUUGGAGUACUUUCAUUUCUCAUUGUCGUACGGAAUUGAUGACUGGCUAUAUAAACGGAAUUGCAAA
rnacentral:lncRNA from 1 species